UUGGGGCUCAUCGUUCAUCUCUGCAGCUUUACACCUAUGCACUUCAUCAAAAUUAAUAACAAUCAUCUAAAUUAUCCCGAUGGUUAGCUAGAUCUUCGAUCGCAGUAUUUUAUUUUAUAAUUUGUAAAGUGCAUUCUAUUUCAUUCUUAUACUAAGUUAUUUAACAUAUAGUCACUAGUCAGUAAGACGAAAAGCGCGGUUUUGUCAUUUCCUGAAAACGGCUCGACCAUUUCUCACACACAUUAGCCGAUCCAACAUUAUAAGCAAAAAAUUAAGGCAUCACACUUUAAUAUGAGAAUGUUAUGAAUGUAAUAUAUGCAUAUGACGUAUGUUAUUAUCUGCAUUAUAUUUUUGGCCUAUAACGCUGGAUCGGGUAAUGUAUAUAACUAUAGAAUAGUAUACAUGGAUAUAUCAUAUUUAUAUUUAAAUCCACCUUUCCAGUGCUUCGUAAAUUGUUUUGUAUUUAACUUUGUCCUUUGUCAGUAUCUGCAAUAGAGACCGUUUGUAAUCGUAAUGUUUCAACUGAAUUUUUCCCGGUAAAACUGUUAACAAAUUAUUAAUAGAGAAAUUGUUCACGAACUUUGAUUUGAAUGCGUAAAUGCCAUGUCAACGUCUUUUCCACACAAAUAAAUUAUUCUGACAUAUCUAGCCUUGUCAUGCAUGGUUUUAUAUUGAGAGGAGUAAACGUUGUCCGCUCAUUUUAUCGCUUGGAGCCUUUGACUGAAGACUGAACAUUUGAAAUAUUGCUCGAUUGUAAAUAUUUAUCGCCAUGAAUUCUAAAUUCAUUAUCUGCUUGUUUCUUGUGAUGUUCACCGUCUCGAAUUCAAACUUGGUGAAACGACGGGUGAACUCGGAAAAUUUUUCUGAAUGCGAAAUAAACGGCAUGUUUUGUUGCAUUAUUGGAUUUUUUCCUCCGAGACAUUGUGAUUACAACGGCGAAUAUCCGAAAUAUGAGUGCCCUCCCCAUAAAACUUGUUGCAAGGAUGCGAACAGUUGUUUCUAAUGCUGCCAUAAUAAGAUACCGAAAAGGCUUAAAGUUAUGACGUGGAAAGUAUAGUUAUAGAAAGGUGGACAAAUACAUAUGAUAUUACAUGAUUUGAAUUUGUUGAAACGGGAUUAGAACUUCAAUAAAGAUUAGAACAGCUUUACUGGUGUAGUCUUAUCAUGCAUUGUUCUUUCCAAACCGGCUCCAUGUAUUUUUUGUAAAGGGAAAUUAUCACCCCAUGCUUCCAGAAAUAAAAAAUAUGUCUAACCGCAUAAAAGGUGAAUAUUUUCUUAGGGGUAAGCAUAAAAAAAAAUUCUGUAACAUAAAUAAUUUCCCUAACAUGCACAUUCGCGCCAAUAUUCCUGUGCACUGAAUCUAUAUAAAUCGCGAUUCUGUUUCGCUUAACAUAUUCGCCUGUACAUAGUUCGUCUGGAUAGUUUGUCUUGUGCACAGACGAAUAAUCUGCGAGACGGAUCAUUCGUCCGGGAAAAAAUACGAUCCCUUACAUUACUCCGCUCCACAACUACAUUUAGUCCACUUCA
rnacentral:lncRNA from 1 species